rnacentral:rRNA from 1 species
AGGGGAAGACGCUGGCGGCGUGCCUAAUACAUGCAAGUCGAGCGGACCGACGGGAGCUUGCUCCCUUAGGUCAGCGGCGGACGGGUGAGUAACACGUGGGUAACCUGCCUGUAAGACUGGGAUAACUCCGGGAAACCGGGGCUAAUACCGGAUGCUUGAUUGAACCGCAUGGUUCAAUCAUAAAAGGUGGCUUUUAGCUACCACUUACAGAUGGACCCGCGGCGCAUUAGCUAGUUGGUGAGGUAACGGCUCACCAAGGCGACGAUGCGUAGCCGACCUGAGAGGGUGAUCGGCCACACUGGGACUGAGACACGGCCCAGACUCCUACGGGAGGCAGCAGUAGGGAAUCUUCCGCAAUGGACAAAAGUCUGACGGAACAACGCCGCGUGAGUGAUGAAGGUUUUCGGAUCGUAAAACUCUGUUGUUUAGGGAAAAAAAAAUACCCUUCCAAUAGGGCGGAACCUUGACCUACCCAAG